UCAAUUGUCUAUUAAUUAUAGACUAGAAUGAAUGGAUUAACGAAAGCCUAACUGUCUCCUAAUUUUUAUCAAUGAAAUUAUCCUUUCUGUUCAAAGACAGAAAUUCUCUUAUAAGACGAAAAGACCCUAAAAGCUUCAAACAUUAAAUUAACCUAUCUAUAAAAACAAAUAAAGAAAAAUACUAAUUUUAAAAAUUUGGUUGGGGCAACCAUUGAAUAAAACUAUCAUCAACAAUUAAACGAAAAAUUUUCUUAAAACAAAGUUACAACUUAGUUAAAUAAGAAACUUAUUAAAAUGACCCAGAAUCUUCUGAUCAAUGAACAAGUUACUUUAGGGAUAACAGCGCUAUUUCUUUUUAAAGUUCACAUCGACAAAGAAGCUUACGACCUCGAUGUUGGAUUAAGAUACCCAAGUGGUGCAAAAGCUACUAA
rnacentral:rRNA from 1 species